rnacentral:rRNA from 1 species
UACGUAGGGGGCAAGCGUUGUCCGGAAUCAUUGGGCGUAAAGCGCGUGUAGGCGGUUCAGUAAGUCUGCUGUGAAAGUCCAGGGCUCAACCCUGGGAUGCCGGUGGAUACUGCUGGGCUAGAGUACGGAAGAGGCGAGUGGAAUUCCCGGUGUAGCGGUGAAAUGCGCAGAUAUCGGGAGGAACACCAGUGGCGAAGGCGGCGAUCUGGGUCGAGUACUGACGCUGAGGUGCGAAAGCGUGGGGAGCAACAGGAU